rnacentral:rRNA from 1 species
UACGUAGGGUGCGAGCGUUGUCCGGAAUUAUUGGGCGUAAAGGGCUCGUAGGCGGUCUGUUGCGUCAGGAGUGAAAACUCGGGGCUUAACCCCGAGCCUGCUUCUGAUACGGGCAGACUAGAGGUAUGCAGGGGAGAACGGAAUUCCUGGUGUAGCGGUGAAAUGCGCAGAUAUCAGGAGGAACACCGGUGGCGAAGGCGGUUCUCUGGGCCUUACCUGACGCUGAGGAGCGAAAGCGUGGGGAGCGAACAGG